rnacentral:snRNA from 1 species
AGCUCUGCGCAGUGGCAGUAUCGUAGCUAGUGAGGGUUAUCCAAGGCACGGUUACUGCUAAUUGAAAAUCACAUAUGCAGAUGAAAAAAAAAAGUUGUGGGAGGAUAUACACCACAGUAUUAAUAUAAUCACUUCUCUGAGU